rnacentral:rRNA from 1 species
GACGGAGGAUGCAAGUGUUAUCCGGAAUCACUGGGCGUAAAGCGUCUGUAGGUGGUUCGAAAAGUCCACUGUUAAAAAUUGAAGCUUAACUUCAAAGAUGCCGUGGAAACUUUCAAACUAGAGUGUGGUAGGGGUAGAGGGAAUUUCCAGUGGAGCGGUGAAAUGCGUAGAGAUCGGGAGGAACAUCAGUGGCGAAGGCGGCCCUCUGGACCAGUACUGACGCUGAGGCACGAAAGCGUGGGGAGCAAACAGG